rnacentral:rRNA from 1 species
GACUCCUACGGGAGGCAGCAGUGAGGAAUAUUGGACAAUGGAGGCAACUCUGAUCCAGCCAUGCCGCGUGCAGGAAGACUGCCCUAUGGGUUGUAAACUGCUUUUAUACGGGAAGAAACACCACUACGUGUAGUGGCUUGACGGUACCGUAAGAAUAAGGAUCGGCUAACUCCGUGCCAGCAGCCGCGGUAAUACGGAGGAUCCAAGCGUUAUCCGGAAUCAUUGGGUUUAAAGGGUCCGUAGGUGGAUAAUUAAGUCAGGGGUGAAAGUCUGCAGCUCAACUGUAGAAUUGCCUUUGAUACUGGUUAUCUUGAGUUAUUAUGAAGUAGUUAGAAUAUGUAGUGUAGCGGUGAAAUGCAUAGAUAUUACAUAGAAUACCAAUUGCGAAGGCAGAUUACUAAUAAUAUACUGACACUGAUGGACGAAAGCGUGGGGAGCGAACAGGAUUAGAUACCCUGGUAGUCCACGCCGUAAACGAUGGAUACUAGCUGUUCGGACUUCGGUCUGAGUGGCUAAGCGAAAGUGAUAAGUAUCCCACCUGGGGAGUACGUUCGCAAGAAUGAAACUCAAAGGAAUUGACGGGGGCCCGCACAAGAGAU